GUCAGGAUAGCUCAGCCGGUAGAGCAGAGGACUGAAAAUCCUCGUGUCACAC
rnacentral:tRNA from 31 species